UACGGAGGGAGCAAGCGUUACUCGGAAUUAUUGGGCGUAAAGGGCGCGUAGGCGAUUUGAAAAGUCUUGUGUGAAAGCCCCCGAGCUUAACUCGGGAAGUGCACAAGAAACUGUUGAAUUUUGAGUUCCGGAGAGGAAGGCAGAAUUCCCGGUGUAGCGGUGAAAUGCGUAGAUAUCGUAAGGAAGACCAGUGGCGAAGGCGGGUCUCUGGACAGU
rnacentral:rRNA from 1 species